AGUGAACGCUGGCGGUAGGCCUAACACAUGCAAGUCGAACGGCAGCACAGUAAGAGCUUGCUCUUACGGGUGGCGAGUGGCGGACGGGUGAGGUAUAUAUCGGAAUCUACUUUUUCGGGGGGGAUAACGUAGGUGAACUUACUCCAAUACCGCAUAUGACCUACGGGGGAAAGCAUGGGAUCUUCUGACCUUGCGCGAAUGAAUGAGCCGAUGACGGAUUUGCUAGUUGGCGGGGUAAUGGCCCACCAAGGCGACGAUCCGUAGCUGAUCUGGGUGGAUGGUCGGCCACACUGGAACUGAGCCACGGUCCAGACUCCUACGGGAGGCAGCAGUGGGGAAUAUUGGGCAAUGGGCGCAAGCCUGAUCCAGCCAUACCGCGUGGGUGAAGAAGGCCUUCGGGUUGUAAAGCCCUUUUGUUGGGAAAGAAAAGCAGCAGGUUAAUACCCCGCUGUUCUGACGGUACCCAAAGAAUAAGCACCGGCUAACUUCGUG
rnacentral:rRNA from 1 species